AGAUCAGAGUGUGGCGGAGGUGUCUACAGACGUCGUAUUCUGACCUCGGUUUUGUUUGGGGUGGAGAUCGAGUGUGGGCGAGGUGUCUACAGACGUCGUAUUCUGACUCGGUUUUGUUUGGGGUGGAGGUCAGAGUGUGGCGGAGGUGUCUACAGGGUGGGAUCAGAUGUGCGGAGGUGCUACAGACGUCGUAUUCUGACCUCGUUGUGUUUGGGGUGGAGGUCAGAGUGUGGUGGGGUGUCUACAGAUACUUGUAUCUGACCUCGUUUUGUUUGGGGGGAGAUCGAGUGUGGUGAGGUGUCUACAGAUACUUCGUAUUCUGACUUGAUUUAAUUCCCUCAUAAUUCCACCACCUUUCCGCAUGAUGAAACCAUGAAUAAGGUCUAAUGAACCUACUGGUCUCCAGUGGGACAGUGAAAGGCUAUAAACAGCUGAGCCGAUUCAGAAUUUGAAUUGUAUGCCCUCAUAAUUUGCGUGGAUGAAAUGUGGGGAUCCGGCGCGUGUAGGGCAACCUGCCGAUUGAUGAGACACUUUAAAAUGUUUGAAUUAUAUGCCUGGGCUUUUCGACGGUUUAUUUGACCUUGUAUCAUGUUAAUAUUAGGCACUAUCAGGACCACCAUCAGUAAUACCCACAUACAUUUAUAAGUGUUAGUUUUCUUCAAUUUGUACCUUACAUUUAGCAUCAUCCAUUCUGUUGACCUUCCUUUCCACUGUCACGUCAGUGUCGUUGUUCCUGAAGGUCGCUAGUAUUGGAUCAUAUAGACAACGUUGUGCAAUAAUGUAGGACAGGUAGCCUAUUAGAUCAUAUGGAACUC
rnacentral:lncRNA from 1 species